rnacentral:rRNA from 1 species
GAUGAACGCUGGCGGUGUGCCUAACACAUGCAAGUCGAGCGAACACACGAUGAGCUCUCUCUCUUGCCGUUAGCGGCUGACGGGUGGGUGAGACGUGCAUAACCAUCUUAUUAUUCUGGGGUAAUUUCGUAGAACCACAUCUACUACUAGAUCAUACAUCCUACCGCUUGGUUCAAUAGUUCUUCAGGCCUUUCCCGUCUCUUAUAGCUGGUGCCGGGCCGCAUUAGCUAGUUGGUAAGGUAACGGCUUACCAAGGCGACGAUGCGUAGCCGACCUGAGAGGGUGAUCGGCCACACUGGAACUGAGACACGGUCCAGACUCCUACGGGAGGCAGCAGUGGGGAAUAUUGCGCAAUGGGCGAAAGCCUGACGCAGCAACGCCGCGUGAGUGAUGAAGGUCUUCGGGUCGUAAAACUCUUUUAUUGGGGAAGAAAAGAUGUAGGAGAAUCUAUGCACGUUUUGACGGUACCUAAAGAGUAAGCCCCGGCUAACUUCGUG